rnacentral:rRNA from 1 species
UGCGGGGGGAGCAAGCGUUGUUCAGAUUUACCGGGCGUAAAGGGCGCGUAGGCGGUCGUGACAAGUCACUUGUGAAAUCUCCGGGCUUAACUCGGAACGGUCAAGUGAUACUGUCGGACUAGAGUACAGAAGGGGCAACUGGAAUUCUCGGUGUAGCGGUGAAAUGCGUAGAUAUCGAGAGGAACACCUGCGGCGAAGGCGGGUUGCUGGGCUGAUACUGACGCUGAGGCGCGAAAGCCAGGGGAGCGAACGGG